ensembl:lncRNA
GCGGGGCUGGCGCGCUGUCUUCUGCGGGCGGGACCCCGGGAUCUAAAGAGCUGCGAGCGGCGUGGGCCGCUGACAGAAUCCUCUCACUGAAUGAAGCUGAUGCUGUGGACUCUUCCCAAACCGAAAUGAGAGGAGAUCUUCCCGACCCAGGGAUCAAACCCACAUCUCCUGGGUUGGAGAUUGGCAGGCAGAUUCUAUACCACUGAGCCACCAAGGAAGCAUAUCAUGUAGUACGACAAUAUUUAUUGAAAAAUUGUGCAUAUAAGUGGACCGAUGCAGUCCAAACCCAUGUUGUUCAAGGGUCAACUAUGAUACAGUAUCAAAACCCUUGUA